GAUGAACGCUGGCGGCGUGCCUAAUACAUGCAAGUCGAGCGAACAGACGAGGAGCUUGCUCCUUUGACGUUAGCGGCGGACGGGUGAGUAACACGUAGGUAACCUACCUAUAAGACUGGGAUAACUUCGGGAAACCGGAGCUAAUACCGGAUAAUAUUUCGAACCGCAUGGUUCGAUAGUGAAAGAUGGCUUUGCUUUCACUUUUAGAUGGACCUGCGCCGUAUUGGCUAGUUGGUAAGGUAACGGCUUACCAAGGCAACGCAUCGUAGCCGACCGGAGCGAGUGAUCGCCCACACUGGAACUGGGACACGGUCCAGACUCCUACGGGAGGCAGCAGUAGGGAAUCUUCCGCAAUGGGCGAAAGCCUGACGGAGCAACGCCACGUGAGUGAUGAAGGUCUUCGGAGCGUAAAACUCUGUUAUUAGGGAAGAACAAACGUGUAAGUAACUGUGCACGUCUUGACGGUACCUAAACAGAAAGCCACGGCUAACUACGUG
rnacentral:rRNA from 1 species